rnacentral:rRNA from 1 species
UGAGGUAACGGCCCACCCAAGGCUAAGACGGGUAGCUGGUCUGAGAGGACGACCAGCCACACUGGAACUGAGACACGGUCCAGACACCUACGGGUGGCAGCAGUCGAGAAUUUUUUCACAAUGGGCGAAAGCCUGAUGGAGCGACACCGCGUGGGGGAUGAAGGGUUUCGAUCCGUAAACCCCUGUCAUUUGCGAACAAACCUUCUCAUUGAAUAAAUGAGGAGCUGAUAGUAGUGAAAGAGGAAGGGACGGCUAACUCUGUGCCAGCAGCCGCGGUAAUACAGAGGUCCCAAGCGUUGUUCGGAUUCACUGGGCGUAAAGGGUGCGUAGGUGGUCGGGUAAGUUUGAUGUGAAAGCUCCGGGCUCAACUCGGAAAAGGCAUUAAAUACUAUUCGGCUAGAGGGUUGGAGGGGAGACUGGAAUUCUCGGCGUAGCAGUGAAAUGCGUAGAUAUCGAGAGGAACACCAGUGGCGAAGGCGAGUCUCUGGACAACUCCUGACACUGAGGCACGAAAGCUAGGGGAGCAAACAGGAUUAGAUACCCUGGUAGUCCUAGCCGUAAACGGUGCACAUUUGCCGUGAAAGGAAUCGACCCCUUUCGUGGCGUAGCUAACGCGUUAAAUGUGCCGCCUGGGAAGUACGGUCGCAAGAUUAAAACUCAAAGGAAUUGACGG